rnacentral:misc_RNA from 1 species
UCAAACUUGGUCAUUUAGAGGAAGUAAAAGUCGUAACAAGGUCUCCGUUGGUGAACCAGCGGAGGGAUCAUUACCGAGUUUACCGCUCAAAACCCACUGUGAACAUACCACUGUCCCUGCUUCGGCGGGCGGCCCCGGGGGGGCCCCCGGCCCCGCGAGGGGUGCCCGCCGGCAGCACCAAAACUCCUAUAUUCUAGCGUACCUCUGAGUGAAGUCUUAAACAAGUAAAAACUUUCAACAACGGAUCUCUUGGCUGUGGCAUCGAUGAAGAACGCAGC